GCCUUGCCAGCCCGCUCAGAAACUUAAAGGAAUGAGGGGCCCGGCACAAGCGGAGGAACAUGUGGUUAAUUCGAUGAUACACGAGGAACUUACCUGGGCUAGAACGCAAUCGGAAUCAGGCCGAAAGGCCUGCGCCAGCGAUGGCCGGUUGCGAGGUGCUGCAUGGUUGUCGUCAGCUCGUGCCGUGAGGUGUCGGGUUAAGUCCCAUAACGAGCGCAACCCCUACUGCUAGUUGCCAGCGGGUCAUGCCGGGGACUCUAGCGGAACUGCCAGCGUAAGCUGCGAGGAAGGUGGGGAUGACGUCAAAUCAGCACGGCCCUUACGUCCAGGGCUACACACGUGUUACAAUGGCCAGUACAGAGGGCAGCCACCCCGCGAGGGGGCGCUAAUCCUAAAAGCUGGUCCCAGUUCGGAUCGGAGUCUGCAACCCGACUCCGUGAAGCUGGAUUCGCUAGUAAUCGCGCAUCAGCCAUGGCGCGGUGAAUACGUUCCCGGGCCUU
rnacentral:rRNA from 1 species